UUCUCUCAAAUCAUCUCCUCUCAAGCUCCAUGUCUCCCCUAUCUUCCUCUCUCACUUCCAUGGGAGACAACGACUACACUCAUGGUGGCGUGCGGUGGUUUCCAUGGAAGCCGAAGAAGAUUGACAGAUGGAGCUAGCUCGGUGGUUAGUGCCCUGCCCACUGUUCUUGAGAAUCCAAGCCCACCCAAAUCAUCCUUCAAUGAGAAAUCUUAUGAGACAAAAUAGUAUAAGAAGGGGUUGAAGGCUGCGAACACUAUAUUGAAAAAGUUUCCAGACCAUGGAGAAACUUUAUCAAUGAAGGGGUUGACAUUAAAUUGCAUGGACCGUAAAUCUGAAGCAUAUGAGCUUGUUCGGCAAGGAUUAAAG